CCCCGCCCGCACCACUCCCUCCCUGCCCCACGCCCAAUCCCCUCGCCCGCACCGCUCCCUCCCUCCUCGAUCUCUCUCCCUGGCCAGCCGCCAUUGGUGGGAAACCCUAGCCCAUUAUCCCAAUCAACACAGUCGCAGCUCUUCUCCUUCUUUCUCCCUUCUCCCCCCUCCUCCCCUCACCACAGCCGCAACCUAGGGGCUCCGCCGUCCGUUUCGAUGAGAUCCACCACCUCACGAGGUUCUCAUCUGCCCCAGGUUGCGAGGAAGCCGCGGGAGGAGGAGUGACCUUGGUGCGAGAUAGGUACGGAGGAGGAGCUCAACCAGCGCGUCUUCGGCCGGAGGAGGGAAGCAGCGGAUGCGAGCCAGGAGGUGGAUCGGCUCGGCCCAGCUAUGGAGGCGGCCGGGGCGGGCGCGGAGAGGGCCGAUGCGGCGGCGGCCAAGGCCAGGGAGGACGAGGUUGCAUCCAUCAGCGAGAAGCGGCCGAUCCACCUGCGUGCCGUCACUGCAGGGAUAGCGUCGCCGUCUCCCUCUCCCCUGGUGGCACCUCCCUAUAUGUUGAGGUUGGUCCUGGAAUGGUUGGCUUUGAGACUUUUGGUGGCAGUAUAUUCUUAUGCCGAGGAGAAGCAUUUGCAGGACGAUUAUGUGGUUAUCUGUGGCAGUGUGCUCCUAUCCUCCCCGCCUCCAUACUUCAUUUUUGGAAAACUAAUGAUUUUAAUUCCUGGAUGUCAUAGAUGUUGAGGUUGGUCCUGGAAUGGUUGGCUUUGGGACUUUUGGUGGCAGUAUAUUCUUAUGCCGACGACAAGCAUUUGUAGGACGAUUAUGUGGUUAUCUGUGGCAGUGUGCUCCUAUCCUCCCCGCCUCCAUACUUCAUUUUUGGAAAACUAAUGAUUUUAAUUCCUGGAUGUCAUAGGUACCAUUAAUUGUGCCUCAGCUUCGUAGCCGAUCUUCGAUCGUCCAUGGCAUCAACACACAAAUUGAUAAUGCAAACCUCAGCCACAGCUCCAAGAAUACGCGGAGGAGGUGGCCCGGGUCGGCGUCGGCGCCGUCCGGCACGGGCCACGGGCCCGCUUCCAAGCGCAUCUGCGCGUCGGCCACCCACGCCGUGUCCUUCAAGUGCCACUUCCACCGCAAACUCCCAGGGUCACGGCCAUGGCCAGGGCCAGGGAAGCCGCCCUUCUUCGCCUCCUUCACCAGCCGCAGCCAACGCGGUGCCGCGGCACCCGGCCUCGCCGUCCUCGUCCUCCAGCACCGUCGCGACCCAGUGACGCAGCCCAAGCAUCGGCCUCGAGAAUCAAGAACGCUCGACAACGUAGAGGGAAGGAAAGGUCAUAUACAUGUCAUAAGAAAGGGAGUUUAUUUACCGCUCCCUCGAUGUAUUGUUUCCUUUGUUUGGAGAUUGAUUACCAUCCGUGAGUUAAGGUAAGGUUUACGUGAUUGAGCGAUUUUUUGAAAAUCAAUUAUUUGUUUUCUAAUUAAUGUAAUUGAGUGAAUUAAGGUAAGGUUAAUUAAUUUAGAUUUGAUCUUUAGAGAUUGUUCGUGAUUGAUUCUACAUUACUAAAUAACUUGCGCCAGUAUGGAAAGUUCUGAUCUGUUUAGAUUUCUUUCGUUGUGUGAGAUGGUGACGCGAAAAUAAACCGAUGAAGUGAGGGAAGGGGACGAAAAAAUCUACGAAAAAAACCAGCGAAGGUGGGAGGAGGUACCAAAAAAAACCAUGAAAGGUGGGAGGAGACUACCAACUGUUUCAUUAGGAGUAGAAAUUAUUAGAGAUUAGAGAUUAUUUGUUUCCUGAAAAUCUAUUAUUUGUUUCCUAAUAUAAAUUGCAUUAAUGAGAGAGAUUUCGUAGAUUUGGCUAAGGUAGGAAAGAAUCUAUUAUUUGUUUGCUAAAGCAAAUUGCAUUAAUGGGAGAGAUCCGUUGAUUUGGCUAAGGUAGGAAAGAAUCUAUUAUUUGUUUGCUAAAGAAAAUUGCAUUAAUAGAAGAGAUCCGUUGAUUUGGUUAAGGUAGAAAAGAAUCUAUUAUUUGUUUCCUAAAGAAAAUUGCAUUAACGAGAGAGAUUUGUUGAUUUGGCUAAGGUAGGCGGUUUUUGCGGUUCGUGGCGGCUUAGUGUGAGGUGGGAUGAGGUACAAAAAAAACCAUGGGAGGUGGGACGAAAAAAAACCUGGGAGGUGGGAGUUGUCCCUGGUUAACCUACAAAAUUUCGUAGAUUUUUUUAGGACGAAAAAAACCCGUGGAAGGUGGGACUAAAAAAACCUGGAAGCGAGACUACCAACUGCUCCCUUAGGAGUAGAGAUUCAUGGGAUCACCAACUUUUGGCGUUUGUUGAUACUAGCUAUGUGGGGCCAUGAAUUCCUAGAAGAUUGUGGCAAUUAUCCUGCUUCGCUUGCAAGAUUGGUUUCUAAAAAUAUCAUGGUAGUUAUAAUUUCAGAUUGCUGCUGAUUUGACUAAAUAUGUUUUGAUUGUUUUUAAGCUUUGACUCUUUACUGUGUGCACAACUAAUUCAUUCCUAAUUAAAUCUUUCAAUGGUUGAUGGGAACACUACAGAUCUUGCUUCUCUGCUUUUUAAUGUUUCAUAUGUUUUCAUGUACAAACCGAGGCAUGCGGAUGCGGGGGCGAUGGCGGGCAUCUCCGGCAGCGGCGGCGACCUGCAGGCAAGAGGCAACGACUGGGGUGUUCGAUUCGAUCCAGCGCCAUGGCCUGGUCCCUGCAGGAGAGAGAGAUGAGGGACAGAGAGAGAAGGAAGGAGAGGAGGGACAAAGAGAGAGGGAGGUGAAUGCACUGGACUCUUCAAGAUCGAGCGCACCAUUGGAAAGGCCGAGUACGUCCAUCGACAGCCUGCCCAUUGUCCGGAUUCACCAAGCAGUACAACCGGAGAUGCUGUCGGCUGCCUGCAGCAGGCACCAAACCGCCCGCUGUUGUCUCUGCCUGAAGAAGGAUUAUGGUUCUCCACCCCUUUGCUACUCAUAUUAAAAUUCCGUUCAAGGAUUGGUGGUCGAGCACUAUGAUCUUUGCACACUAAGCUAUUCCGGAGAAGUUUAGAGCUUCUGCAACCUUUUGAAGACACGAUUUAUAGUUGCGGAGAUGAAACAAUCAAUCAGUUGCGAUGCAUUACAUAAUCUUUUUGCUCUGGACAUUGAUGGGUAUUAUUUUGCCACAAAGGACAGGAGCUGUGCCAUUUGACUCGAAGGAUAAAGCGUUCAUCAGAAGGGGGUGGUCUUUAGGAUGUACACAAAAGAGGAAAUUUCCUUUUGUAUAGAACCAAAUUAUAUGAUGUAAUUGACCAUUCUCUUGUACACAAUGUUUAUCAUGUAUUAAGUACAUUUUAUUGUCAAAUAUGUUUACUUUUUUUA